UCACCAUGUUGGCCAUGCUGGUCUGAAAUUCCUGACCUCAAGUGAUCCACCUGCCCUGGCCUCCCAAAGUGCUGGGAUUACAGGUGUGAGCCACCGUGCCUGGCCUCAACCCCUUUUAAAAUAAAAAAUUUUUCACAGCCACUUUGAUAUUGACUUAAACUACAUAUGUAUUGUUACUUAAGUAUGUACAAACCUAAGACCAGUAAUAAACUCCUUAUUCUUGGAGCUUUACACAACUAAAAAUAGAUCUAUAAAUUAAAUACAAACAAGACUAUAGAAGUGGUAAAAUUCCAGUUUACAACCAAAAGCAAUGGAUGAUGAUGUUGCUUUGCUGAAACUAUAUUGCAUCAGUGUGAAUUUUAUAGUGACCAUUAAUGAAGCAUGUUUUUUUGCAUCGUAGCCAUGGGAUAACUUUUUCUACAACUCUUUUUAUCAGUUGCCUUUCAUAAGGAACAAAUGCAUCAUUUACAUAUUUAAUUCCAUUCUUUAAGUUUUUGUCUAUUGUUUGACAUCAGUGCCAUCAUAAAUGGUCAACCAGGUAAUUCAAGAUACUGCAUAUAUAUUAAGAAUCAAAAUAAGAUGCUUGUGGAAAAUUGGCAGAUCCUAAACCCUAGUUUGAAAACCACUGAACAGGUCUAUAUUUAAUGAGCCAUUCAUUUAUAAUUCAGGAAGGCCUCCAGUGUGAAGGAAGGUGAAAAUUUUGGAGUUAGAUUGGUUUAGAGCUAAUUGGAAUAGGCCAAGUGCAGGAUAAAGCAAGCUUGAAAUAAGGCAGUGGCGGGGGGGAAUGCAAGAAGAAUCCGUGCAUGUGAGUUAAGUAAAUGUACUCAAGAUGACUUGAUCAGUAGUUGGAUAUGGAGUGUAGGGUAGAGGGAGAAUUCUAGGAUGACUACAAGUUUCUUUCUUUUUUUUUCUGGAAAUGGAGUUUCGUUCUUGUUGCCCAGGCUGGAGUAUAAUGGCACUAUCUCGGCUCACUGCAACCUCUGCCUCCUGAGUUCAAGCGAUUGUCCUGCCUCAGCCUCUCAAGUAGCUGGGAUUACAGGCAUGCGCCACCAUGCCUGGCUAAUUUUUGUAUUUUUAGUAGAGACUAGGUUUCUCCAUGUUGGUCAUGCUGGUCUUGAACUCUCAACCUCAGGUGAUCUGCCUGCCUCAGCCUCCCAAAGUGCUGGGAUUACAGGCGUGAGCCACUGCGCCCGGCAAUGACUACAAGUUUCUAAUCCAGAGACUAGGCAGUUACCAGUGCCUUUUGCCCAUGAAGUCUUAGUAGGAAAACAGUGAGUUGUUUUGGACAUACCAAGAUCAUGAUUCUCAUGAGAUCCAACUGGGGGUUUCUAGUAAUGUGGUUCAGAACUGAUUGGCUCAGCCAUUGAUCUGAUCCAGCUGUGACAACCUGAAAGCCAUACUUAGCAACCCUUCACAUUAACAGUAAGUAAGUAAAGCAGUUUUUGCAAAAGAAUCAGCAAGCAAUAUAGAUUUUUUCUAAACAAUUUCGAGUUCAGUACAAAGAACAUUUUCCCUCUUAACUAUUUCAGAAUAAGUUGCUAUGUCUAGGCUAAAUGCAGAAGAAAAGAAGUGAGACAACUUUCUUUUACUCGUAAGUGUGAGAGCAUUGGAAGGACAGGAGUUUUGGGUCAUGGAGUUGGAUAAUACAACAUUUUAAAGGUGCAGAGUUCCAGGUGAGAUAAAAUCAACAGGUUACAACAGUAUGUUCCUAAAUUGGAUUGAAGUUGGUCAUUUGAAUCCAUUCAAUAAAUUUAACAUUCUACCAGGUACUGGAGAGAAAAAGGUAAUUGAGACAGAGUUCCUACACUAAAGGAACUUACAGAGCAGAAGGGAAAAUCAAGCAGAUACAUUGUUCAGACGGAGUACAAAGAAAGUAAAACAGCUUUGUCAAGGUGGAGGGUGGAGGGCGGGUCAAGUAGAGCACCUCAAAGAGGUGGGUAAACCAGAUUCUGAAUUAUGAAUAGGAACUAACCAUUCCAAGAUGAGAGGCCAUAGAGAGUGGGCAGUAAGGUCAGAGGAAGCAGUAUUUAUACAGGCUCCAAGGUGACAGAGGUCAUAACCCACCAGGGGACUGCAAGUCUUUCAGUAUAACAAGAUAGCAAGUAAAUAUAAGGCUGUAAAGCAAGAUCCAAUCAUGAAGGGCCUUGUUGAGUUUGAACUUCAUCUUACAUAGCCGUCCGUGGAAAGUCAGUGUAUUUUAAACAGGUGAGUGAGUAAAAUGGUUAAUAUGCAUUUUAGAACUUGUUCUGCGUCUACAUAUUAAAGGGAGCAAAACAAUAAACAGAAACCGGUUAGUAAGCUAUUGACAUAAUCUAGGUAGAAGGUGGUGACAAAGUUAGGUAAUGAUAGUGGAUGUGGAGAGAAGUAGAUUAACUCAGGAGUUCAAUAUUUAGUAACUGUAGGGCUUGAUGGUUAAUAUGAAUGUUAGGGGUAAAGAGGGAAUUGAAUGAUUCCGUUCCUGACAUGGGAACUAUAUAAUUUACUGAUUCAUAAAUGAUUUUUGACCAGGCAUUGUGGUACACACUGGGCUUGAGAGAAGUGAACAAGUUUAAAGUUUCUGAUAGCCUCUGCUAUUAUUGUGUAGGGUCACUAGGAGAAGUCAGACAAUGAGCACAUAAACUAGUUUCAGAUAGUACAUGGAUGGACCAAGAGUGGUGAGAGUUGGAAUAUCUGUGAAGCUUUUAGGGUAAAGUCAUAGCUGUGGGAGGGCAGGGACCCUCUUGUUACUGUACUCAACUUGCAUUGGUUUAGGGCAUUAGCAGUAGGGGAAAGUACAGAAUGACAAAAAAUUGCACAGAAACAUUUGGCACCUUUUAGAAAUAAAUUCUUCCAUUCAAAAAAUAUGAGUGAGGGCCAGGUGCGGUGGCUCACACCUGUAAUCCCAGCACUUUGGGAGGCCGAGACGGGCGGAUCACCUGAUGUCAGGAGUUCAAGACCAGCCUGACCAACACGGUGAAACCCCUUCUUUACAAAAAUAACAAAAAUUGGCUGGGCAUGAUGGUGAGUGCCUGUAAUCCCAGCUACUCAGGAGACUCAAGCGUGAGAAUCGCUUGAGCCUGGGAAGCAGAGGAUACAGUGAGCCGAGAUCGCAACUCUGCGCCCCAGCCCGGGCAAAAGAGCAAGACUCCAUCUGGAAAAAAAAAAAAAAAAAAAAAAAAAAAAAGUGCUUGCUUUGAUCGAGGCCCUGUAUUUCGGGUUACAGAAUUUCUUUUAAAACAUCUUAAUCAACAUUGGACGUAUCUUUUUAAAUGCAUGCUUCUCCACUUUCUUCCAGAGUAUAUAGAACAGUUUUUAGUGGAUAACUAUCCUGACCUAAAGUAAAUGUUAGCCUUGAGUGCUGUUUUUGAAUUGGGUAAAGCUGCUGGCAUGUCAUCCUUAUGUAGCAGGCACAAUAUUUGCAGUAUUCAGACUUCUAGACCUGGUGCUAACCAAAUGUUUCUACAUUAAGUGGCUUCAUUCUGUUGUGCUUUUUGAAUGUUUUCUAGCUUCCUUCAUCUUUCUAGCUUCCUUGAUCUUAAUUUUGCUAUUUCUGGUCAUGUUAAAGCAGGAACCUGAUGAUCAAAAACUCUAGGAAUCAAACCCUCUCCUUUUAAUCACUGUACUUGGACUUCAGUGCCUAGAUUUUGAGGCCACUGUGACUUUUUUUUUUUUUUUUUUUUCAGAUGGAGUCUGGCUGUAUCUCCAGGCUGGAGUGCAGUGGUGCGAUCUCGGCUCACUGCAACCUCCGAACCCCUGGUUCAAGCGAUACUCCUGCCUCAGCCUCCCAAGUAGCUGGGAUUACAGGCAUGCGCCACCACACCCAGCUAAUUUUUGUAUUUUCAGUAGAGACGGGGUUUCACCAUGUUGGCCAGGAUGUUCUCGAUCUCCUGACCUCAAGUGAUCCGCCCGCCUCGUCCUCCCAAAGUGCUAGGAUUACAGGCGUGAGACACGGUGCCCGGUUGACUGUUUUGUUUUCACUCACUCCUCCAUACCCCAACCUGUUUCUUGGUAGUUGAGGAUCACUAUGACUGUUUUUAUGUAGGCAGAAUAUUUAAGAAAACAACAUAAAUUUAGAUAUUUGUUCCGUAAAGUUACUAAAAAGUAAAUCUAUUAAAGGUGAUUGUCACAUAAGCCUUCCAUUUCUACAGGUAGUAACAGUGCCUGUGAUUUCAUUAGACAAAACUGAACAUAUAAAAAUGUAGUUGGCUACCUGGGAGCCUGAAGCACUUUGUUUACAGAUACUUUCUUAGGGCUAACUCAAAACACAUCUAACCAGAACCAUGCCAUAAGCUUGCCAGAGAAUGACAAUGCAUUUAAACAUCGUAAAUAGCCAAAUUUCAUCUUCCCCACUGAAGACAGCAUUUCAGAUACAAGAACAUGGCCUGGUAAUGUUUUUCCUGAAGAGAUCCUACUUGUAUCAAAGUCAGCCUGUAGCAGUGCAAACUACUGACUUAAAGUUUAGCAGCUAGAAAUAGUCUGAAAAGAUUCAGAAAAUUGAAGUUAUUUUACCCAUGAAACAAACAUCUGCCCUUUUAGAGCAAGCAGCUCCUUAUACCUUAUGAGAAAACUUAAGAACAAAAAGUUAGCUUUUCAUUUUAAGGUACCAUGGUUGAUUUUAGACAGUUCUCAUAUCUUCAGAGUUCAAAUUAUUAUCCUUGGGGAAAAUUAUGCAGGACAAAAGUGUUUUUUAGAAAUAUUUAGCAAAAAUGUAUGAAUUACUGCCUUUUCAUAAUGCAGCCAGGACUUUCAUUGGAAUAUUUGAUUAUCCUAUGACCAACUCACUUAUACCUUCCACAGAAUAAUAUAGCACAACGUGUAGUAUAUACAAGCUCCAGAAUGCUUGGGAGAUGUACCUCACUUUAGUACUAAUUAGCUGUGUAACUUUGAGCAAGUUGUUUAACCUGUGUCUCCAUUCCUCUCGAGGAUCAUAACAGUCUUUCUUAUGGGGUAAAAUAAUACAUGUGGAACACUCAACAAGAUGCAUGGCACACAGUACUGUAAUAAAAGUAAUUUAGAGAAACAGAAGAUACUUUGCUUAACCCAAGAUACCUUGAGGUAAAUUUAAAAGUCACAUUUUAAAUACAUUCCUAUUGUUUUUCAUACAACUAUCACUUCUGUGGUAGUUUAAUCACAUGGUGUUUAAAUAAUCUAUGUUUAUGCCUACUUACAUAGGUUAAUAUGAACAGUAAAAAUAUUUUCAUUCACUACCCAAGCACAGUCUAUUGAAGGCACUUCCAACCAGCCCCUUAUCAGGAGGAAGAAUCCAACCUAGGACUAGUUUAUCAAUAGAUGUACUUUUCCACAGGUUGUAAUUAGUUGUAAGUAGGCAAGGUUUGGCUCUCAGGAGCUUUCAGCGGGACAUUUAUAUUUGUAAAUAAAAAGGAAAUAUUCUUUGGGCAGUGUUUCAGAAUCACCUGGGAUGAUGUGCAUGAAAAUUCCUGGCCUCCACCAAAGACUUACUGAAUCAGAAAGGAGGCAAGAGGAUGAGGAAUGCUUAAGAAUCUGCAUUAACAGACUUUACAACUGAAUCUUACAUCAUACAGAAGCAUGGAAACUACUGCCUCAAGGGAUUAUCUCAACUUGAGUUUAAACUGUUAACAGGGCUGAGAAUAUCAUGUGGUUCAGUCUUCUGAAGGAAGUUAUACAAUAAAAGCAUAGUGCCUUUGAACAUGAAGACUCCUCAAGGCCAGAAGUCCUACAAAGGAACUGAAAGAAGAGAUUCCAGAGAAUUGCUCUCCUCAUUUUUAAUAUGUAAAGUGACUGACUGUUUUAAGUCACUUCAUGAAGACUUAGUGAAGAAAACAGUGUUGUUAUGCCACUGAAUAAAGCUACUUAAACCAGAGUAAUUUUGGGAUAUUAAUCCUAGGCUACAUAAUUAAUAGGUCAUCAAAAAAAACCUGUCAGUUAUUAGGUAUAAGUUAACUUCCUAUGCCAAGUAAGGGGUCACACUUCACUUCCCCCGUUUGUAAAAUGAAAAGGUGGCCAGGCCAGUGCCAUUUAGGAUUCUCUGCUAACUGUAAAAUGUGGACUGAUUUUCUUCUGUUUCUUAUAGUCCAAGUGUAUAUAAACUUCCAGUUCUUUAAAUCAAAAUUUUUAUGCACAUAACCAUGUCAGUGUAUUGCCCUUAGUUUAAAAAUGUACAACUACAUAAAUAAAAACUAUUGUUUCUUCAAUAUUACUUGACAUUUCUUCUGUAAUUUCUUUAUUUAAAAAAGUAAAUGUAACAAGAUACUUAAAAAAGGCUAGAUACAAAAGUAGUUAAGCUGCUCACGAACAUUUAAAAUUUUCCAAAAUGUAUCUUCAAUAAUCAUGAUCUUAUAAAACAUUUUACAGUUAUCAGAAAGUGCCCAGGCUGAGUUUACAUAACUGAAAUACCUUAGUACAAAUGUCUAGUUAGAACUGAAGUGCAGUAACCUCUUGAGACUGACUGCUCAUUGAAAUAGGGAUACAAAGAAAAAGUUGAUUGUGAUAAAAGUAUUGUGCAUUGGCCCCAUCAUAUGUACAAAAAAAGUGCCCUCACUCAAAUGAGCAAAUUACAUGCAAAAUAUUAGUGAUAUCAUUUAAUAUCCUAGAGCUCAAUGCAGUCAAACCGCAAUAAAAGUGGUUUUUAUAGGUAAAAGUGAUUUCAUCUCUUAAGAUCUGAAUGUCGAGAACUUUUUUACAAGUUCCAUAUACAUGAUACACAGUUGCAGCCAACCACAAAUUAAACACCAUAAAAAAAGUUAAAAUGAAAACACAGAACAUACUUAAUUUUUUAUUUUGAAAUUCCCUAUUCCCUCUAUACAAGAACCUUUGCUGAAACAGUUUCCACAAAGGCAGCAGUGAAUUUUCAGAACAUUUACAUUUUUU